GAUGAACGCUGGCGGCGUGCCUAAUACAUGCAAGUCGAGCGAACGGACGAGAAGCUUGCUUCUCUGAUGUUAGCGGCGGACGGGUGAGUAACACGUGGUUAACCUACCUAUAAGACUGGGAUAACUUCGGGAAACCGUAGUUAAUACCGGAUAAUAUUUUGAACCGCAUGGUUCAAAAGUGAAAGACGGUCUUGCUGUCACUUAUAGAUGGAUCCGCGCUGCAUUAGCUAGUUGGUAAGGUAACGGCUUACCAAGGCAACGAUGCAUAGCCGACCUGAGAGGGUGAUCGGCCACACUGGAACUGAGACACGGUCCAGACUCCUACGGGAGGCAGCAGUAGGGAAUCUUCCGCAAUGGGCGAAAGCCUGACGGAGCAACGCCGCGUGAGUGAUGAAGGUCUUCGGAUCGUAAAACUCUGUUAUUAGGGAAGAACAUAUGUGUAAGUAACUGUGCACAUCUUGACGGUACCUAAUCAGAAAGCCACGGCUAACUACGUG
rnacentral:rRNA from 1 species